GGAGGUUACUGCUAUCGGUGUUCGCCUAACCCAUGCGAGUCAUAUGUUCUUCGUGAACAUGGCGUACUGCUCAGUAACACGUGAAUAACCUGCCCUUGGGACCGGCAUAACCCCGGGAAACUGGGGAUAAUUCCGGAUACCGCAUAUAUGCUGGAAUGCUUUAUGCGUGAAAUGGAUUCGUCUGCCCAAGGAUGGAUCUGCGGCCUAUCAGGUAGUAGUGGGUGUAAUGUACCUACUACCCUACAACGGGUACGGGUUGUGAAAGCAAAAGCCCGGAAAUGGAUUCUGAAACAUGAAUCCAGGCCCUACGGGGCGCACCAGGCGCGAAAACUUUACAAUGCGGGAAACCGUGAUAAGGGGACACCAAUUGCCAACAACUUUUGUUGGCUGUCCAGGUGUGUAAACUACACCUGUUAGCAAGGGCCGGGAAAAACCGGUGC
rnacentral:rRNA from 1 species